AUGGAAAACAAACCGAAAUUGCCAAAAUCUGUGGAAAGUAUCGAAAAAGCACGGCUGGAUGAGAAAUACGCGGAAACCGUGCAAAUCUUCGAGGAAUUCCACAAAAUCGCGUGUCUCGGCGAUUUGACGUCAAUCUAUCGGAGCCGCGCAUGUUUUGCGGCUGAAAAACGCAAAUCGGCACUUGUAAAGCCGGCAAUCGACGUUUUUCGAGCAUUUCCAGCGUCAAGACCCACAGUUUUUCACUAUACGGGCCUUUUAAUCCACGAGAGCGCUCAUCACUGGUUCAACGCGCAGGAAAAUGUGCAACAGGUUUCCAACAUCACCAUCGUCAACGAAGCCACGUGUGAACUACUGGAUUUUUAUAUGAAAUUUUUCGCGGAAACCGAUGGAAAUAGUGGUCUAGAAGAGUGUCUGCAGUGGCUCUGUGAAAUAUGCUCCGAGCUCUCUUCGAAAAACGCUGGCCGCCCCGCAAUGCUUCCGGCUCAACAAAACGCUGAAAUCCUUCAAAUCUGGAAAUCGAAUGACGUCAUCGACAAGCUUCUCUCCCUUCUGAGCAUUUGUGUGACGUCAUCGUUGGCUCAGAACUCUGUCGGCUGUAUGCGGGCUCUUUUUGAAGCUUCACGACACGGACAACACUUUAGCUGGAUUUGGCUUCACAUUGCAACCCUACUCCAAGGCUCAAUCAUCACACAUUUACUGGAAUCGGGUGCCGAGCAAUUCCGCACCUACGUCAUUGAAAUUUCAAGCCGAAAAACGGUCCAAACGGGCGGUCCGGCCGUGUUGAACAUUAUUCAGACAGAGUACGAGCACAAAUUUCGCGCGAUUUCCGACGUUUUCAACUUUUUGAUGCAAAAACGGAAUCCCGAGCUGCAGGAGGCCGUUAGCCAGCUUAUUGUGGACAGUCUCGACUUCAAGCCGGCGGCAGGCCGAGGCGGCGGCUCGGUAAAUCGCCUCGGAUUCGCCUUUUUCUUCAAACUCGUCACGUGCUCGCUGAAAACUUUGCAGAUUUUGGUCAAUACGAAUUGUCAUUUGAUCACCCCAUUCAACGUAAUUCGUGCAAUUCGACAAGUUCAAACCGUCGAAAAGUCCCUAAUACUCCCGGCAAUCACAUUUUCCGAUUUUAUCAAACAAAUUGUGGAAGACGUCGACCCAAUCACUCAUGGAAUCAUUUUUGAGCUGCUCGUCGAGCUCGUCUAUAAUCCCGCAGUUUUUGAGGGCGAAAAUCUGCCGGAAUUUCGAGAAUCCAACGAGAAAAUCCGAGCCGACUGCUUCCCGGUGCUCGACGUGAUGAUUAGCCGUAUUAUACGAAUUGCUCACUCGGCUGGAGGCUACAAGUGCUCGUCACUACACCCGGCUAUUCAGCUUUACUCGUCCGGCGAAAAACUCCAAUUUAUUAUCGAUUCGGCGAAAAAUUGCACUGAUAAUUUGCAAAUGACUUCAUCAAUAAUUCGUCAUCUCCACGCGAUUUCCAUCGCUUUUGACGAAUCAAAAGCCGCCGAAAUUGCUCUCCGCUUCCUUAUGACUACAGAUUUCGGGGAUUCCAAAAAACUGGAAAUCCUGAUGGCCUACCUCUCGGCUACCGUACCCUUCUACCCACAAAUGCUAGCCAAGAUGUGGGCAGAGUUUGGCGGGCUCCGCGAGCUCAUCGCCUUCUCGUUCGACCCGGAAUCCCCGCUGAAACGCGACAGCAUCCACGUUCACAUGAACCUUUUGCACAAUUUCCGAACGAUUUUCGACUGGGAACUGCACACGGCGCCGGCCGCACCGAAAAACUCUUACGGAUUCUGGAAAUUGUAUCCGGGACAGCACAUUGGUUCGGUGCUCAACACGAUUUUGACGAAUACCGUCAAAAUUUGCUGGGAACUGCAGGAAAUCUUCCCGAUGGAAUUGUGAUUUUCGAGGAGCUCCGUGCCCAGUGCUUAUAUUUCUUGUUCGGAAACCACCUCGACCCGCAACUUUCCCGCUUUUCGCCGGUUUUUGUUCAAAUUUUCGUCCAGUCGUGCUACGCGGACGCGAAAAAACUCUUCCACGAGCCCAUCAUCGAUCACGGCUUGGAGCAACUUUUAGAUGAAACUCAGGGUCUUGGCCGGAUUUUGGAUAUGCAGGAGCUUGUCGAUGGACCAUCUGUGAUCGGACAGCUGAAAUCGCUGAAAAUGCGAGAUUCCGCGUUGGCAAUGCUUCAUACGGGACAGUUGAAGCGGCGGCGGCUUCUCGAGGACCCGGUUACUGUGGAAAAUGAAAACGCUACACAGCGUGUCUACGUGGUCCUAGACGCCAUCCGCCUAAUGUGUACUUCCGGAAAGCUGGAAAUUCGUAUCGGAUGCAGUAAGCACCUGGCUCAGGCACUACUGCAGACAAUCUGCAAAGAUUCACUUAUGAGUGAUAUGCGAUUCGAUGAAUGGGAUAGUGAAGCCGAAUUUAUUCAUCGACACGUUGAAAUCGCCCAACGCAUCGCCCGUUCGCCGUUCUCCGACGGAAUCCUGCGUAUUCUUGCCGAAACUCGAAGUUUCGCCUACUGCCUGCCUAUCAUGAAGUCGAAGUUGGCCGUGCUGCUCAACGAUACCGAAAAAUUCCCCGAACACGUAGCAAUUUCCGAGCCAACGCGGCAAAAGCUACAAAACUGGGUGUUUUUGGCGCAAAAAGGCGGGAUUUUGCCCGGCAGACUGGCGCCGAUUUGCGAUUUGGAACAAUUCUCCACGUGUCAUGAGACACAUUUGAUGCUCGUCGAGAUUUGGCGAUUUUUUGUGGUCCGUCAGCUAAAUACCGCCACAAUCGACACAUAUCACAUGGAAAUUCUACGCGGUGACGUUGACGAGGGCCUGCCCGCCGAAAAAGAAUCAAUCGAUAAAAUCAAUACUUCUGUCUUUAGAAUUAUCAUUCAAAAUCAUUUGCCCGACUCGGCCCACUUGUUCCCGAAAAUUUUCCCGUUGGAAUUUGAAUUUCUGAAAUUGUGCAAAGUUGAAUAG
rnacentral:misc_RNA from 1 species